rfam:Acidilobus saccharovorans 345-15, complete genome.
GCCGGGGUGCCCGAGCGGCCCAAGGGGACGGGCUGGAGACCCGUUGCUCCGCAAGGGGCGCGUGGGUUCAAAUCCCACCCCCGGCG